rnacentral:misc_RNA from 1 species
GCAAACUUGGUCAUUUAGAGGAAGUAAAAGUCGUAACAAGGUUUCCGUAGGUGAACCUGCGGAAGGAUCAUUAUAGAAAUAAACUUGAUGGAUUGUUGCUGGCUCUCAAUGGGAGAAGCAAGUGCACGUCUAUCAUUUUUAUCUUUCCACCAUGUGCACUAUGCAUAGACCUGAACAAUUUUGUUAAUCAAAUAUUACUUUGGUUUUUGGGAAUUGCUGUUAUCAAUGGCAGCUUUUUCUGUGUUCAGGCUCUAUGAAUUUUUGUUACACACCACUGUAUGUUAAUGAACGUUAUAAUGGCUUUCUAAGCCUAUAAAUCUAUAAUACAACUUUCAGCAACGGAUCUCUUGGCUCUCGCAUCGAUGAAGAACGCAGC